GAAGAAUGGCUGUAUGAUACUGCAAUUCCAGCAACACCUCUUUCACCAAUAUCAUCAGUGUCAUCAUCACCAUCUACAUCAUAUAGUGGAACUUCGGCUUCGGCUUCAUCCGGCAACGUCCGCACGGCUGCAAAAAAGCGAAAACAGACCAUUCAACAGGAAAUAUUGCAAAAAAUUGAAAAAAGUGACACGUCUCUGGAGACCGCAAUUGAGCGCUACCGAGAAACAGAUGAGCAACUUAUACAGUUAGAAAAAGAGAGAAAUGAAGUUCUACGAGAAAUGACCGAUAGUUCAAAACAGCUCAAUAAGCUUUUUUUUUUCAAAACGUAUAUUUGACACGGCACUAUACCUCAAUAAAGCUUUGAUGCAGUUUAUAAAUAAGUGAGGCACCUUUUUAGUUUAGAUUUGUUUUAAUGUAUGAUUACUGAGUCAAAUGAAUGUAGUGCAAGUGGAACAAAUAGUUAAUAUGUUGAUGAAAGUAAAAAGUAAAAAAUAAUAUAGCUACUUACACAAGAAUCUAGCAAUCGUACCCCUCACAGUUCGAGCCGUAGGGUCCAUGUCAGUGAUAGUAACAACUUGAUCCGGUUGUGGUUUUUGAUCUUGAUCCAUCUCUAAUAACUGUAUCCAGUUUGCAGUGAUGACAUCAUUGUAAUUGUUUAGAAAAUUGUGUAACACACAGCAACAUUUCACAAUAACGUUAACGUUGUUGAUAUUAUUAUCGAGGCCCUUCCCAAUACGUCGAAAUCUAGCUUUGAGGUGACUAAAGCACGGAAAGGAUAUGGUUAUGGUUUAUAUGGGAGCAAGGCGGAAGACCGAAUCGCCGAUCAGUUUUAUUGCUUAGAACUCUCAAAUAUUGUGGAGUCAUUGCAUCUUCCCGGACUUCCGACAUUAAUAUAUUGAAAACGGUAUCUGCUGAAAAAAAAGAGAACAUUUUAGUUAUUAUUAAGAGAAGACAAAAAUAUGGCUUAAUAAAUUAACUGCAUGGUUUGGUCAAUAGUUAACUUUUAAAUCUGAUAGGCAGUAUGAUUGCGUACACUACAGCUUAACCAGCUGCAGAUUUCUAAAGUAUGAGGCCAACUUCAAAGAAUAGUGUUGAAAAAGGAUGCAAUAAAGAAGAUUAUUAUGAGCUUUUCAUUUUGAAUGUCUAACAAAAUCUUUUUUAAUCAUUAGAAAAUGCUAGAAAAAAAUUUAAACUUAAUCUGCAAUAAAAAAAAAUUAUUUUUAUUUCUUUAUCUUAAACUUUUUACCGAAAAUUUUGUAAUAACUUUAUUAUUUUGGUUUUUAUU